rnacentral:rRNA from 1 species
CCUACGGGAGGCAGCAGUGGGGAAUAUUGCACAAUGGGGGAAACCCUGAUGCAGCGACGCCGCGUGAGUGAAGAAGUAUCUCGGUACGUAAAGCUCUAUCAGCAGGGAAGAAAAUGACGGUACCUGACUAAGUAGCCCCCGCUAACUAAGUGCCCGCAGCCGCGGUAAUACGUAGGGGGCAAGCGUUAUCCGGAUUUACUGGGUGUAAAGGGGGCGUAGACGGCAGCACAAGUCUGUAGUGAAAUCCCGGGGCUUAACCGAGGAACUGCAUUGGAAACUGUGCGGCUGGAGUGCAGGAGGGGAAAGCGGAAUUCCUAGUGUAGCGGUGAAAUGCGUAGAUAUUAGGAGGAACACCGGUGGCGAAGGCGGCUUACUGGACUGUAACUGACGUUGAGGCUCGAAAGCGUGGGGAGCAAACAGGAUUAGGUACCCUUGUAGUC